GAGAUAGCUGGUUCUCCUCGAAAUAGCUUUAGGGCUAGCGUCGCGUAGUAGCAAAUAGGGGUAGAGCUCUGUAAAGGACUGGGGCGGGCAACUGUACCCACCCUUAACAAACUACGAAUACUAUUUGUGUAAUCGCGGCAGUUAGAACGUCGGGGCUAAGCUCGGCGCUCGAAAGGGAAACAGCCCAGACCAUCGUCUAAGGUCCCUAAAUUAACACUCAGUGGGAAACAAGGUGAGAUUUCUUAAACAGCGAGGAUGUUGGCUUAGAAGCAGCCAUUCAUUUAAAGAGUGCGUAACAGCUCACUCGUCAAGAGAUCUUGCGUGGAAAAUGUAACGGGGCUAAAGUGUUAUACCGAAGACAUGGAUGUGCAAUUUAUUGCACGUGGUAGAGGAGCGUUCCUAUCUGCAGUGAAGCAGUUCUGGAAAGAAUUGUGGAGCGUUAGGAAGUGAGAAUGCUGGAAUGAGUAACCAUAAGACAGGUGAGAAUCCUGUCGGCCGUAAGAGCAAGGUUUCCUGAGCCAUGGUAAUCAUCUCAGGGUUAGUCGGGCCUAAGCCGAGGCGCAUAGCGUAGGCGAUGGACAUCAGGUUAAUAUUCCUGAACCGGCAUAGUUUGUACACUGUUCACGGCGAGAUAUUCGGAGCGGAUUCAUGGUAUGUAUCCGUCCAACCUAGGGGGAACCCGACGGGAGUGAAAGUUACUCUUUACGAGUGACGAUUCUGGAAAAGGCGCUGGCUAGAAAAGCAGAUGUACGCGUGGCUAUGUCGACCGUACCGCAAACCAACACAGGUGCUCGAGUCGAGUAGACUCAGGCUUACGAGAGACCCUUCGCUAAGGAACUCGGCAAUACAGCGACCGUAACUUCGGGAUAAGGUCUGCCCCCACUUCGGUGGAUAUGAGCCGCGUUCACUCAGCAAGAGUUAACGGUUAAAAAUAACGUCCGUUGCCUUAAAAACAACGGAUAGUGAGUACGCAUAGAUUUACGUUAUGAAAAUAACAACAAUGUAUGUGAUCAAAUCCUUUUUAAUUACGACAAUUUUCUGAGAUAAGUAACAUGAAUUAAUGUUCUUUUGAACGCGCAACCUUCGUAUCUAACGAUGUGGGGGCCGCAGCAAAAGAGCCCACGGAACUGUUUAUCAAAAACACAGGUCUCUGCUAACACGAAAGUGGAUGUAUAGGGGCUGACUCCUGCCCGGUGCUGGAAGGUUAANNCUAAGGUAGCGAAAUUCCUUGUCAGGUAAGUUCUGACCCGCACGAAUGGAGUAAUCAUGUGGGCACUGUCUCAGCGAAGGCCUCGGUGAAAGUGCAUUGGCGGUAAAGAUGCCGUCUGUCCGUACCAGGACGAGAAGACCCCAUGGAGCUUUACUACAGUUUUACAUUGAACACGGUUUCAGCUUGUGUAGCAUAGGUGGGAGACGUUGAAGCAGAUGCGCUAGCAUUUGUGGAGUCACCGGUGAAAUACCACCCCUGCUGUGAUUGUGUUCUCACUCUGACCGUUAUCCGGUUAGAGGACCGUGUAUGAUGGGUAGUUUAACUGGGGCGNNCCUCCUAAAGAGUAGCGGAGGCGUUCAAAGGUUGGCUAGCUUCGGAUGGAAAUCGAAGUGAUAGUGUAUGCGCAUAAGCCAGCUUGACUGUGAGGAGUACAUUCCAAACAGAGACGAAAGUCGGAGCAAGUGAUCCGCUGUACGUACAUUUGUACAUGAAUGUGGGAUCGACAGCGCAAACGGAUAAAAGUUACCCUGGGGAUAACAGGCUUAUAGCGCCCAAUAGUUCACAUAGACGGCGCUGUUUGGCACCUCGAUGUCGGCUNNUGGGUUCAGAACGUCGUGAGACAGUUCGGUUUAUAUCCGGUAUGGACGUUAGGAAAUUUGAGAGGAUCUACCCGUAGUACGAGAGGACCCGGGCGGACGAACCUCUGGUGUAUCGAUUGUGGCCACCUGCUGCAUUGUCGAGUAGCUAAGUUCGGACUAGAUAAGCGCUGAAAGCAUAUUAAGCGCGAAACUAACCUCAAGAUGAGAUUUCCCUAUGAGGACACUGAAAGAUUAUCAGUUUGAUAGGUGCAAGGUGGAAGUGUAGUAAUACAUGGAGCUGAAGCAUACUAAUAGUCCCAUUGCCUUUUUAU
rnacentral:rRNA from 1 species